CUGUGGGGGGGAGUGCAGCUGAUAAUGAAACUCCAUGCUUCUCCUUCUUCCCGCCUUCACUGUCAGAGCCAGUCUUGAAGGCACAGAAUACAACAUCCAUCAUAAACAGAACACCCGACUGAGGAUACAAGCAUCAUAACGUCACGUCAAAGAAGAGGAAGUGAAGACGUGAGAGAAAACAACAUGGCAGCACCAAGGAAGAUGACGGCUGGAGCUCCUCAUGAUACUGUGACACUGACUGCAGCAGAUACAGUGGCACCUCUCAUGCUACAUUUGGUAACAAGGAUCAACAUGUACACCCCAUAACAAGCCUCCUUUUCUCCAGGUUAAACAACCCCAGUUCCCUCAGCCAUUCCUCACAAGACGUGCUCCAGACUGUUCCACCAGUGUUACUGCCCUUCUUUGGACAGGCUCCAGCACCUUAAUGUCUUUCUUGUUGUAAGGGACCAAUUAAUUAUAGAAUAAGAAUGCCUCACCAUUGUUGGGGUUUUAUUUUGGAUCGUUGGUUAUAAAUCUGUUCUUUUUAACGUUAAUGGAAAGUACUAAAAAAGCUGCGCGUAUCUUGGCAGUACCAGCAUGUGACAGCACGUGCACAAAAACGGCUCUGUCUCUAGGGGAAAUUUCUCUUGACAGCCUAUCAGGGUGAAGAGAGCCUCUAUCACUAGGGAGACUCUCCAGGUGACCUUCCUUGGAUAAUAGGACCAUGGGAGGGGUUACACAGUAUAUAAGUGACUGCCUCCAAACCCUGAGCUGAGCCUCACUCCUGGCCCCAGCCCUUGCUCUCUCUUGCCCGCAGCUGCCAUUGCCCCUAUCCUGCUGCAGUCCGCAACCGCUGUCCCAAUCCCCCACCGUCCCUGCUGCAGCUUGACACCCUGCCUCCUUCCCUGCUGCUGCUGCGUCUCCUGCUCAAGCAUCGUGUCACUUACUGAGUGUCCUGCUGUUUGUUGCAUGCAGUUCAGGCUGUUAGAAUCGCACUGCGAGUGCUGCGUCAACUUGGCUUGCAGCGCACACACUUCACCUGCCAACCAAACAACAGCAGUGUGCCACGAACACCAUAGCAAUGCAGUAGCAGUAACACUGUCUCUUACUCUUUCCUCUGACUUUUCUAUCCCCCUGUUAGGGCCAUUUAUUUUCUUUUAUCUAUAAAU